UACGUAGGGGGCAAGCGUUGUCCGGAAUUAUUGGGCGUAAAGAGCUUGUAGGCGGUUUUGUCGCGUCUGCUGUGAAAAUCCGGGGCUCAACCCCGGACUUGCAGUGGGUACGGGCAGACUAGAGUGUGGUAGGGGAGACUGGAAUUCCUGGUGUAGCGGUGGAAUGCGCAGAUAUCAGGAGGAACACCGGUGGCGAAGGCGGGUCUCUGGGCCGAUACUGACGCUGAGGAGCGAAAGCGUGGGGAGCGAACAGG
rnacentral:rRNA from 1 species